rnacentral:rRNA from 1 species
GAUGAACGCUAGCGGCAGGCCUAAUACAUGCAAGUCGGACGGGAUUCAGGAGCUUGCUUCUGAUGAGAGUGGCGCACGGGUGCGUAACACGUAUGUAACCUACCCUUAUCAGGGGGAUAGCCUCUCGAAAGAGAGAUUAAGCCCGCAUAAAAUCACAGCACAGCAUUGUGUAAUGAUCAAAUAUUUAUAGGAUAAAGAUGGGCAUGCGGAACAUUAGCUAGAUGGCGGGGUAACGGCCCACCAUGGCGACGAUGUUUAGGGGAUCUGAGAGGAUGGCCCCCCAGACUGGUACUGAGACACGGACCAGACUCCUACGGGAGGCAGCAGUAAGGAAUAUUGGUCAAGGGGCGGAAGCCUGAACCAGCCAUGCCGCGUGCAGGAAGACGGCCCUACGGGUUGUAAACUGCUUUUAUACGGGAAUAAACCCAGAUACGUGUAUCUGGCUGAAUGUACUGUAAGAAUAAGGAUCGGCUAACUCCGUG